rnacentral:rRNA from 1 species
AGAGUUUGAUCAUGGCUCAGGAUGAACGCUGGCGGCGUGCCUAAUACAUGCAAGUCGGACGGAGAAUUAGCAAUAAUUCUUAGUGGCGAACGGGUGAGUAACGCGUUGGUGACCUGCCCCGAAGAGUGGGAUAACAGUUCGAAAGGACUGCUAAUACCGCAUAAUAUCUCUGGAGUUAGAGACUGGAGAUGAAAGGAGCAAUCCGCUUUGGGAGGGGCCUGCGUCCCAUCAGCUAGUUGGUAAGGUAAAAGCCUACCAAGGCGAAGACGGGUAGGGGACCUGAGAGGGUGAUCCCCCACACUGGCACUGAAACACGGGCCAGACACCUACGGGUGGCAGCAGUAGGGAAUAUUGCACAAUGGGCGAAAGCCUGAAUGCAGCAACGCCGCGUGCGCGAAGAAGGCCUUCGGGUCGUAAAGCGCUUUUCGGGGAGAUGAGGAAGGACAGUAUCCCCGGAAUAAGGCUCGGCUAACUACGUGCCAGCCGCCGC